rnacentral:rRNA from 1 species
ACGGAGGGUGCAAGCGUUGUUCGGAAUUACUGGGCGUAAAGCGCGUGUAGGCGGCUAGGCAAGUCGAGUGUGAAAUCCCAGGGCUCAACCCUGGAACUGCACCCGAAACUGCUUAGCUAGAGUCCCGGAGAGGGUGGCGGAAUUUCCGGUGUAGAGGUGAAAUUCGUAGAUAUCGGAAGGAACACCAGUGGCGAAGGCGGCCACCUGGACGGUGACUGACGCUGAGACGCGAAAGCGUGGGGAGCAAACAGG